rnacentral:rRNA from 1 species
AGAGUUUGAUCAUGGCUCANGACGAACGCUGGCGGCGUGCCUAAUACAUGCAAGUCGUGCGCGGGAAGCAGGCAGAAGUCUUCGGAUGGACGUUUGUGGAACGAGCGGCGGAUGGGUGAGUAACACGUGGGCAACCUGCCUGUAAGUCUGGGAUAACUCGCGGAAACGUGAGCUAAUACCGGAUGAAGUCUUUUAUCGCCUGAUAAAAGAAUGAAAGGUGGCAUGGCUACCACUUACAGAUGGGCCCGUGGCGCAUUAGCUAGUUGGUAGGAUAGAAGCCUACCAAGGCAACGAUGCGUAGCCGACCUGAGAGGGUGAUCGGCCACACUGGGACUGAGACACGGCCCAGACUCCUACGGGAGGCAGCAGUAGGGAAUCUUCCGCAAUGGACGCAAGUCUGACGGAGCGACGCCGCGUGAGUGAUGAAGGUCUUCGGAUCGUAAAACUCUGUUGUUAGGGAAGAACAAGUGCCGUUCAAACAGGGCGGUACCUUGACGGUACCUAACCAGAAAGCCCCGGCUAACUACGUGCCAGCAGCCGCGGUAAUACGUAGGGGGCAAGCGUUGUCCGGAAUUAUUGGGCGUAAAGGGCGCGCAGGCGGUCUCUUAA